CAUCUAAAUUCUUUAGUUAUAUGGCUACAAACAGCCACCUCCACGGUAGUAUAUGCAGCUUGUUGCUCAUAUGGUUGCCCUGAGGGAACUUGGAGUCAUUG
ensembl:snoRNA SNORA70 Small nucleolar RNA SNORA70